rnacentral:rRNA from 1 species
CUGAGACAAUGGCCCAGGUCUUACGAGACGCAGCAGGCGCGAGAACUUCACAAUGCACGAAAGUGUGAUGAGGUUACCCGGAGUGCUACAUAGUAGCUGUUGUGGGUGAGUAAGAUUCCCCACCAGAAAGGAGAGGGCAAGGCUGGUGCCAGCCGCCGCGGUAAAACCAGCUCUUCAAGUGGUCGGGACUUUUAUUGGGCUUAAAGUGUCCGUAGCCGGUUUAGUAAGUUCCUGGUUAAAUCAGAUAGCUUAACUAUUUGUCAGCUAGGAAAACUACUAUACUAGGGGGCGGGAGAGGUCUGAGGUACUCCAGGGGUAGCGGUGAAAUGCUAUAAUCCUUGGGGGACCACCAGUGGCGAAGGCGUCAGACUGGAACGCGCCCGACGGUGAGGGACGAAAGCCAGGGGAGCGAACCGGAUUAGAUACCCGGGUAGUCCUGGCUGUAAACGAUGCGUGCUAGGUGUUGGUAUGGCUAUGAGCUGUAUCAGUGCCGUAGGGAAGCCGUUAAGCGCGCCGCCUGGGGAGUACGGUCGCAAGACUGAAACU